UACGGGGGGGCAAGCGUUGUUCGGAAUUACUGGGCGUAAAGGGCUCGUAGGCGGCCAACUAAGUCAGACGUGAAAUCCCUCGGCUUAACCGGGGAACUGCGUCUGAUACUGGAUGGCUUGAGUGUGGGAGAGGGAUGCGGAAUUCCAGGUGUAGCGGUGAAAUGCGUAGAUAUCUGGAGGAACACCGGUGGCGAAGGCGGCAUCCUGGACCAUUACUGACCCUGAGUGAGCGAAAGCCAGGGGAGCAAACGGG
rnacentral:rRNA from 1 species